rnacentral:rRNA from 1 species
UCCUCCAAGGCUAAAUACUCCUGACUGACCGAUAGUGAACCAGUACCGUGAGGGAAAGGCGAAAAGAACCCCGGCGAGGGGAGUGAAAAAGAACCUGAAACCGUGUACGUACAAGCAGUGGGAGCACCCUUUGGGGUGUGACUGCGUACCUUUUGUAUAAUGGGUCAGCGACUUAUAUUCUGUAGCAAGGUUAACCGUAUAGGGGAGCCGGAGGGAAACCGAGUCUUAACCGGGCGUUAAGUUGCAGGGUAUAGACCCGAAACCCGGUGAUCUAGCCAUGGGCAGGUUGAAGGUUGGGUAACACUAACUGGAGGACCGAACCGACUAAUGUUGAAAAAUUAGCGGAUGACCUGUGGCUGGGGGUGAAAGGCCAAUCAAACCGGGAGAUAGCUGGUUCUCCCCGAAAGCUAUUUAGGUAGCGCCUCGUGAAUUCAUCUCCGGGGGUAGAGCACUGUUUCGGCUAGGGGGCCAUCCCGGCUUACCAACCCGAUGCAAACUGCGAAUACCGGAGAAUGUUAUCACGGGAGACACACGGCGGGUGCUAACGUCCGUCGUGAA